CUUAACAAAUGUUGGAGUCCAUGGCUUCUUUCAUUGAAUGUCUGAUUUGGAAGGUAAGUGGAGAUCCGCAUGGAACAACAACAGGUGCACCUAUAUUAGGUAUGCUUUUUGAGAAGAUAGGCACUAAUGCAUAUAUGAUGAGAAUCUUGAGGGAUAAGGAGAAGAAAAAGGAAUA